CGACUCUUCCGAUCUCCGGAGACCUCACUAAAUAUUCAAUCGGUAGUAGCGACGGGCGGUGUGUACAAAGGGCAGGGACGUAAUCAAUGCGAGUUAAUGACUCACACUUACUGGGAAUUCCAAGUUCAUGUGAACAGUUUCAGUUCACAAUCCCAAG